UCCCUACUCACUGACUUUAUAAUGCCCAGCACAAUCCAUGGCUACCUCGUGUGCAUCUUGUCUGUCUCCCCAGGAAAAAAUAAGUGCCACAGAGGACACAAAUUGGUCCAUCUUGUUCACCUGUAUACCGCUGGCACACGGAACAAUACCUGGGAAGUAGUAGGUGUUACUAAGUAUGGGUUAGUGGGAGGAAGGAUGGGCGUUAGGGGGAUCCAAAGAGGAAGAAGGAAAGAAGGAAUAUUUGCCAAACCUAAACAAUAAGAGGAGGUUACUCAGCGGGGUCAACUACGGUUAAUCAAAAGAUGUGCCCCCAACUUUGUGGGGACAUCAUUCCCUUGCAGACCCCUGCUCUUGGAGUGACCCAGAAGGAAAGCAGGGGGAAAGUUUGGAGAGCAGAGUCCCCUGCAGAGCCACUUCCUGAGGCCACCUCAGAGGCAGCCCAGCCCCAGGGUGUUUGUCUCUCUGUGUUGGAGAUCUCCAGGGGAGGAACUACCCCACCCCCCUUGGUGUCCUUUGUGGUCAGGAAGUUCUCCUUGAAUCAGGGCAAAACCCCUGACGGGGCAGCCUGUGUUCACUUCCUCUCAGCAGCCACUGCCAAGAGCAAUGCCUGCUUGCCACUCCAGUUGUAAGACAAAUGCCUGCUGGGAAGGGCAGAAGGAACAGUACUCGGUGGCCAGGUCAGAAGCCAGGCCAGAAGUCAAACCCAGCCUCCCAUGUCCACAUUGGUGGCUUCACUGCCGGUCUGGGUUCAAAGGAGACACGGGUAUGGCUACAGCAGGGCCCUAUGGUAGGAACAUGUGUUCCAGAAGAUCAGGCAGCCUGACAUUAUUCUAGUCCCACGUAUGGGAGCCACUGCCUGGGAAGAAGGGCCCUCUCCCCUCUGGAACCCACAGUGCGUGCCCAGGCAGCCUCGGGCUCAAGCGACCUGCCCCGCUGCAGCUGGAGACCACGGAACUUUCCAGGGGAGUCACGAAAGGAAAGCUUGACAAAGGAGAAGACAGGCAGAGACAUUUUUUUCCAGCAGAGGAUUAUGAUGUUUCAUUGUGGUCAAGCCGAGCUUCUGCCAUACUCAAGAUGAAGCUUCUGUUCCCAGACAUUUAGUGAGUACCGGCAGGAAUGGACAUCGGAAAUAGAUAUCCUUAUUUACACACCAGGCCUUCUGAUUCGUCUAGUUGUCCCAACCGGGUUCCUAAUGGCCUCUACUAGAAUGAAAGAGCGUUACAGACCUUCCAGGUUCCUUGUAUACUUACAAGCAAUAAAAUGUUAUGUCCCACAAGGGGCCUUCCCCUCCCACAGUGAGCUCACCGUCCAUUUCAAAGGGCGCGAGGGAAGGCUCAGAGGCUGAGCUCCUCUCGGAGGCCAUUCUCCUUUCUCCACUGCCUAUUUCCCACUUGCCUUCCACCUGAGCCUCCCGCCACGCCAACCAUGACCUCGAGACCUUGGUACCAACCAAAGUGCCCCUUCCUUUUAAGUCCGUCUCACAUGCUCAACGAAUCAACAGCAAGUAUUUCAUAGUUAAAACUCCCACUCUGCACAGCCCCUGAGGCUAUGCCUGAUAGCUGAUAAAAUUCACAGGGGCCACACAGUCUUUGGCCAUGGUGGUUCCCUAUGCCAUUUCCGGGUGAUCCUGCCUGGUCUACUGCUCUUCUCAUUGGACUGUGAUGAGCCAAGUUCUGACAGAGGGAGGAGGGGUGGCUUCGUGCUCCAGCCCGGCUCUCUGGCAGAGCUGAUCAGAAAUCACUCCUAAGCAGAGACAACAAGGCCAGCAGCCCAUGGCUGGGAGGCCAGCACAGGCAGGCUGGAAUUGGAGUCUGUUCCACUAGCCCCGUGAGGAGGUCAGCUUGCAUAGGAAGGAGCAGGGCGGGAAGCUCCGUGUUCCCAGCUUCCAUGCUCUGGCCCUCGCACGGAGCCCAGAACCAGAGAGCACGUGGGGGGCAUGUCCGUGCAGCCCUGUGUGUCAGACCCGCACCACCCCCCCCUCCGCCGUGGACACUGCUGCCUCUCACAUGGGUGUUCCUCCCUCCCCAUCUCCCUCCAUCUGUACCAACGGGCCAGGCCUGGCUUACUCACCUGCAGGACAGCCCUUCUCUCCUGGCACCUUCUCGUACCCAGGGCAGCACUCAUAGCUGAUGACUCUGCAAUGAGACACACGCAUGAGGGGAAGGCGGGGCUCCCCUUCUCCUGGCUGUCAUCAGGAGUCCUCACUCCAGGAAGGGCAUCCACAGGCAGAGGAAGGGAAACGAUGGUACAACACUGUACCGUCUUGGAGGAAUCAUUCAUUCUCAGUCCUAUUUGUGCCUUUUGGAGCAAAGACCUUGUCACUCUUCCUCAGCUUUGUAGAAUGUUCCUAAUGGUCGCCAUCCCUCCAGCAAUCCAGAAGGGACUGUGGUGGCCUGUUCAAUAGCAGGAUUAGAAAAGACCCCCACCAGGAACUUAUCUCCAGCAUAACUCACGGCGAACCCCAUGGUUAGCGUUCUUGGGCCAGCAGGGAGGAGGAAGGGGAGCCCCGGACCUGUCCUGGCUGAGUCUGCCACUAACCAACUGGGACCUCCCCUGCCAGUCCCAUCUCCUGACUCCGUUUCCUUAUCUGUAAAAUGUACGUGUGUAUCUUCCAACAGUCAUGGGAUUCAGUCUCUCACAGUCAUUUGCUCUCCAAUUCGAGGACCCGGAAGGACAGUGUAUAGAUGAUCAUCAAGUUUUUCUGUCUUUACAAUCAAACUCUAACACUUUUAAAGU